UACAGAGGUCCCGAGCGUUGUUCGGAUUCACUGGGCGUAGAGGGUGCGUAGGUGGCGAGGUAAGUCGGAUGUGAAAGCUCGGAGCUCAACUCCGAAAUGGCAUUGGAAACUACCUUGCUCGAGGGUUGGAGGGGGGACUGGAAUACUUGGUGUAGCAGUGAAAUGCGUAGAUAUCAAGUGGAACACCAGUGGCGAAGGCGAGUCCCUGGACAACUCCUGACACUGAGGCACGAAAGCUAGGGGAGCAAACAGG
rnacentral:rRNA from 1 species